rnacentral:rRNA from 1 species
UGGGGAAUAUUGCACAAUGGGCGAAAGCCUGAUGCAGCAACGCCGCGUGAGGGACGACGGCCUUCGGGUUGUAAACCUCUUUUAGCAAGGAAGAAGCGAAAGUGACGGUACUUGCAGAAAAAGCGCCGGCUAACUACGUGCCAGCAGCCGCGGUAAUACGUAGGGCGCAAGCGUUAUCCGGAAUUAUUGGGCGUAAAGAGCUCGUAGGCGGUUUGUCGCGUCUGCUGUGAAAACCCGAGGCUCAACCUCGGGCCUGCAGUGGGUACGGGCAGACUAGAGUGCGGUAGGGGAGAUUGGAACUCCUGGUGUAGCGGUGGAAUGCGCAGAUAUCAGGAAGAACACCGAUGGCGAAGGCAGAUCUCUGGGCCGUAACUGACGCUGAGGGGCGAAAGGGUGGGGAGCAAACAGGCUUGAGGAUACCCUGGUAGUCCACCCCGUAAACGUUGGGAACUANUUGUGGGGGUCCAUUCCACGGAUUCCGUGACGCAGCUG